rnacentral:rRNA from 1 species
CCUACGGGAGGCAGCAGUGAGGAAUAUUGGUCAAUGGCCGGAAGUCUGAACCAGCCAAGCCGCGUGCAGGACGAAGGUGCCAAGCAUUGUAAACUUCUUUUGUCCAGGGGCAAAAUCAAGCUCGAGAGCCUACCCGAAGGUACUUUACGAACAAGCAUCGGCUAACUCCGUGCCAGCAGCCGCGGUAAUACGGAGGAUGCGAGCGUUAUCCGGAUUUAUUGGGUUUAAAGGGUGCGUAGGCGGACUGUUAAGUCAGCGGUAAAAGACCGGGGCUAAACCCCGGCGAGCCGCUGAAACUGGCGGUCUUGAGAGGGCGAGAGGUAGGCGGAAUGCGCAGUGUAGCGGUGAAAUGCUUAGAGAUUGCGCAGAACUCCGAUUGCGAAGGCAGCAUACCGGAGGAGAUCUGACGCUGAGGCACGAAAGCGUGGGUAUCGAACAGGAUUAGAUACCCUUGUAGUC